ACUUGUAGGACGUCGGGAGCACUGCCGCUGAGGCCGCUGAGGGCUUGUUGGGCGAUGUCAUGUGCAGACAGGCUCCGAUCAGUGUUUCCAGCCACUUGCUAGAAUGAAAGCCUCAGCACAAAGAACCUUACCAGCAGAGAGAAAGGAUCAAGAAUCAGAUCUAGAAAGAGAUUAAUAAUGAAAAGCCUCAUCAUCUUUCCUGUGUGUGAGAU